ACGGGUCAUAUGAUGAUUAAAAGCAUAGUUCAAAUGAAUUCUUUGUGAUUAUAAAACAAUCUUUAUAGUCUUUCGCUCCUAUCUGAUGACUCCU
rnacentral:snoRNA from 2 species